rnacentral:rRNA from 1 species
AACGAACGCUGGCGGCAUGCCUAACACAUGCAAGUCGAACGAAGCCUUCGGGCUUAGUGGCGCACGGGUGCGUAACACGUGGGAAUCUGCCCUUAGGUACGGAAUAACAGUUAGAAAUGACUGCUAAUACCGUAUGAUGACUCCGGUCCAAAGAUUUAUCGCCUAAGGAUGAGCCCGCGUCGGAUUAGCUAGUUGGUGAGGUAAAGGCUCACCAAGGCGACGAUCCGUAGCUGGUCUGAGAGGAUGAUCAGCCACACUGGGACUGAGACACGGCCCAGACUCCUACGGGAGGCAGCAGUGGGGAAUAUUGGACAAUGGGCGAAAGCCUGAUCCAGCAAUGCCGCGUGAGUGAAGAAGGCCUUAGGGUUGUAAAGCUCUUUUACCCGGGAUGAUAAUGACAGUACCGGGAGAAUAAGCUCCGGCUAACUCCGUGCCAGCCGCCGCCGUAAGAC